UACGUAGGGUGCAAGCGUUGUCCGGAAUUAUUGGGCGUAAAGAGCUCGUAGGCGGUCUGUCGCGUCUGCUGUGAAAACCCGAGGCUUAACCUCGGGCCUGCAGUCGAUACGGGCAGACUAGAGUUCGGUAGGGGAGACUGGAAUUCCUGGUGUAGCGGUGAAAUGCGCAGAUAUCAGGAGGAACACCGGUGGCGAAGGCGGGUCUCUGGGCCGAUACUGACGCUGAGGAGCGAAAGUGUGGGGAGCGAACAGG
rnacentral:rRNA from 1 species